GGGCCCAAGCCUCUAGUUCCCUGCUGGCCCUCCCUCAGGCCUCGCCGCGUCCCGGCCUCGGGGACUGUGCCCCGACCCGAGCCCGGCGUCCCCGAGGGAAAGGCAGGGCUUCUCGGACGCUCCGCGUGCGCGCUGGCCCUCCGCUGCCGCCCUCUGCAGGGAGAUUUCUCCUAUUUCGGGCUAGGAAGGGAAGAUACGCUCCGGAAGACCCCCCGGGCGUCCAUGCUUCCCAGGGAGUCUCCGUAGGACCCCUGGAGAAGGGCACUGGAGCCCCCUAGGGCAGGAGAUGGAAAAGCACUGGCCAUGCGCGGGGUCCCCGGCCCCCGGUGCCCCCAGCCCGCCUGCCAUUCCCGGGCGCUUAGCAGUCCGGCGUCCCCAGGUGCCCGGCAGGUCCCUUCGGGACCUCGAGCCGCCCGCUGGGCACACGCUGACUCCGCUGUCUCUUUACGGAAAUUGAGUGCAGCCGAGGCGGGACCCGGGCGCAGAGAGCGAUAAAGGAAAAGCAUGGUCGUGCUCUAAUCAUUACAGUCUAAGGGACGACACGUCGAGAUGGCGCGCGCCUCUGCGUGCGUGGAGAUGGCACAAAGGCCGCGCCGCCCCCGGCGGCCCCCGCCCUCGCAGCGCGCGUGGUCCCGGCCCAGCCGGAUGUUGACAGCGUCGCCUAGCAACGGGAGAUGGCGGAACCGGGCGGCGCGGCGGGCCGGUCCCAUCCGGAAGAUGGAUCGGCUUCUGAGGGAGAGAAGGAAGGGAAUAAUGAAAGCCACAUGGUGUCACCACCAGAGAAGGAUGAUGGCCAGAAAGGUGAAGAAGCUGUCGGUAGCACAGAGCAUCCUGAAGAAGUCACAACCCAAGCGGAAGCUGCAAUUGAAGAGGGGGAGGUCCAGACAGAAGGGGAAGCAGCAGUGGAAGGGGAAGAGGAGGCUGUGUCCUAUGGAGAUGCUGAAAGCGAAGAGGAAUAUUACUAUACAGAAACUUCAUUCCCGGAAGGGCAAAUCAGUGCUACAGAUACAACUUACCCGUAUUUCAGUCCUCCUCAGGAACUGCCUGGAGAGGAGGCGUACGAUAGUGUUAGCGGGGAGGCUGGUCUCCAAGGCUCCCAGCAAGAGGCCACCGGUCCACCAGAAUCCAGAGAAGGGAGGGUCACCUCCCCAGAGCCAUUCCACGGAGUCUUAGGCCCGUCGGAGCAAAUGGGCCAGGUCACCUCUGGGCCAGCAGUGGGCAGAUUGACAGGAUCCACAGAGGAGCCCCAGGGGCAGGUGCUCCCAAUGGGCGCCCGGCACCGCUUCCGGCUGAGCCACGGGAGCGACAUGGAGUCCUCAGACCUGGAGGAGUUCGUCUCGCAGGAGCCAGGUGCCACCCACCCGCUGAGGUCACCCUGCCCUGGCGAUGAGCCACCUGCACAGGCCAGGCCCUUCUGUGCAAGGGACGCCACUCGUUUGUCAUCCGUUACCUGUUUCCUGAGUGGCUUGAUCCCCCCAGGGGUGCCCGAUGCCCACCCCAGGGAAGGAGACUUGCCAGUGUUCCAGGACCAGAUCCAGCAGCCCAGCACCGAGGAGGGGGCCGUGGCAGAGAGAGUGGAGUCCGAGGGGAGUGACGAGGAAGCAGAAGAUGAAGGGUCCCAGCUGGUGGUUUUGGACCCAGACCACCCCCUGAUGGUAAGAUUCCAGGCUGCCCUGAAGAACUACCUGAACCGACAGAUCGAAAAGUUGAAGCUGGACCUCCAAGAGCUGGUUGUGGCUACCAAGCAGAGCCGAGCCCAGCGGCAGGAGCUGGGGGUGAAUCUCUAUGAGGUGCAGCAGCACCUGGUACACCUGCAGAAGCUGCUGGAGAAGAGUCACGACCGCCACGCAAUGGCCUCGAGCGAGCGCAGGCAGAAGGAGGAGGAGCUGCAGGCCGCCCGCGCUCUCUACACCAAGACCUGCGCAGCUGCCAACGAGGAGCGUAAAAAGUUGGCGGCUCUGCAGACUGAGAUGGAGAACUUGGCCCUGCAUCUCUUCUACAUGCAGAACAUCGACCAGGACAUGCGUCACGACAUCCGCGUGAUGACGCAAGUGGUGAAGAAGGCCGAGACGGAGAGGAUACGGGCAGAAAUCGAGAAGAAAAAGCAGGACCUGUAUGUGGACCAGCUCACCACUCGAGCCCAGCAGCUGGAAGAAGACAUUGCCCUGUUUGAGGCUCAGUACUUGGCCCAAGCUGAGGACACCCGGAUUUUAAGGAAAGCAGUGAGUGAGGCCUGCACCGAGAUCGACGCCAUCAGCGUGGAGAAGAGGCGCAUCAUGCAGCAGUGGGCCGCCAGCCUGGUGGGCAUGAAGCACCGCGAUGAGGCGCACAGGGCGGUGCUGGAGGCGCUCAGAGAAUGCCAACAUCAAGCCAAAUCCAUCGACGGCGAGAUUGAGGCCUAUAAGAAAUCCAUCAUGAAGGAGGAAGAAAAGAACGAGAAGCUGGCGAGCAUCCUGAACCGGACAGAGACGGAAGCCACACUGCUGCAGAAGCUCACCACCCAGUGCCUGACCAAGCAGGUGGCCCUGCAGAGCCAGUUCAACACCUACAGGCUCACCCUGCAGGACACAGAGGAUGCCCUCAGCCAGGACCAGCUGGAACAAAUGAUACUCGCGGAGGAGUUGCAGGCCAUCCGCCAAGCCAUCCAGGGCGAGCUGGAGCUCAGGAGGAAGACGGACGCCGCCAUCCGGGAGAAGCUGCAGGAGCACAUGACCUCCAACAAGACCACCAAACACUUCAACCAGCUCAUCCUGAGGCUGCAGAAGGAGAAGACCAACAUGAUGACACAUCUUUCCAAAAUCGAUGGUGACAUUGCCCAGACCACCCUGGACAUCACACACACCAGCAGCAGGCUGGACGCACACCGGAAGACACUGGUGGAGCUGGACCAGGACGUGAAGAAAGUCAACGAGCUCAUCACCAACAGCCAGAGCGAGAUCUCCCGGCGCACGAUCCUGAUCGAGAGGAAGCAAGGGCUCAUCAACUUCCUCAACAAGCAGCUGGAGCGGAUGGUCUCCGAGCUGGGGGGGGAAGAAGUGGGGCCCCUGGAGCUUGAAAUCAAAAGGCUGAGCAAGCUGAUCGACGAGCACAAUGGCAAGGCGGUCCAGGCCCAGGUGACCUGGCUGCGCCUGCAGCAGGAGAUGGUCAAGGUGACACAGGAGCAGGAGGAGCAGCUGGCCUCCCUGGACGCGUCCAAGAAGGAGCUCCACAUCAUGGAGCAGAAGAAACUACGAGUAGAAAGCAAGAUUGAGCAGGAGAAGAAGGAGCAGAAGGAGAUCGAGCACCACAUGAAGAACCUGGACAACGACCUGAAGAAGCUCAACAUGUUGAUGAAUAAAAACCGGCGCGGCUCGGAGGAGCUGGAGCAGAACAACCGGGCGACAGAGAAUGAGUUCGUGCGCUCGCUGAAGGCCUCUGAGAGGGAGACCAUCAAGAUGCAGGACAAGCUGAACCAGCUCAGCGAGGAGAAGGCGACCCUCCUGAAUCAACUGGUGGAAGCAGAGUGAGUCCCAGUCUCCAGCCACACGUGGGUCAUGAAGGUCACUGCACCUACAGGCCUCUGUCCGUUGAAGACCAUGUAGGAGGCCAGACACCAGAUUAUGCUUUGGGAGAAAAAAAUCCAACUGGCAAAAGAGAUGCGUUCCUCAGUGGAUUCCGAGAUCGGCCAGACGGAGAUCCGGGCCAUGAAGGGCGAGAUCCACAGGAUGAAGGUCAGGCUCGGGCAGCUGCUGAAGCAGCAGGAGAAGAUGAUCCGUGCCAUGGAGUUGGCGGUUGCCCGCAGAGAGACCGUCACCACCCAGGCCGAGGGGCAGCGCAAGAUGGACAGGAAGGCGCUCACCCGCACCGACUUCCACCACAAGCAGCUUGAGCUGCGCCGGAAAAUCAGGGACGUUCGCAAGGCCACCGACGAGUGCACCAAAACCGUCCUGGAACUGGAAGAAACACAAAGAAAUGUGAGCAGCUCCCUCCUAGAGAAGCAGGAAAAGCUGUCGGUGAUUCAGGCAGACUUCGACACACUCGAGGCCAACCUCACCCGGCUUGGGGCCCUCAAACGACAGAACCUUUCAGAGAUCGUGGCCCUGCAGACGCGCCUUAAGCACCUGCAGGCUGUGAAGGAGGGGCGCUACGUGUUCCUGUUCCGCUCCAAGCAGUCCCUAGUGCUGGAGCGCCAGCGCCUGGACAAGCGACUGGCUCUCAUCGCCACCAUCCUGGACCGCGUGCGGGACGAGUACCCCCAGUUCCAGGAGGCCCUGCACAAGGUCAGCCAGAUGAUCGCCAACAAGCUCGAGUCACCGGGGCCCUCCUAGGGAGCAGCCUGGACCCCGCCUUGCAAGGCCUCCAGGAAGAGAUCCGGAAUUGUGUUUGUCAUGAGGGACUUGGAAUCUUUUGUGUUCCUAAAAACCACAUGUACCCUCAGAAGGGCAUCGUUUAAGAGAAAUAAGCCAGCCCCACCCAUAGGAAUCUUUUUAGCCACUCAGCAAUUUAAUAAACCAGGUAAAAUCCUAGCGUUUCCCGUGGCAUCCCAUCGCAAAGACAGAGCCUGUGACUGCAGACCCACACACCCACACUCCCACACUGGGCUUACUCGUCCAGGUAGCACUUUGGUUUGCAGCACUCCCAAAUCUGCACAUGCCUCUCACAACACAACGCUGCCACAGGUCUGCAAGCUGGUGGGCUGAGCAGAGGUGGGAAAGUUAAGGCAGUUCCAGCCAGCCUGGCCCGGGAGGCUGCUUCCCCCCAGCACUUCCCUCUACUAGGUGCACCUGAAAACCCACAAACCACCUUCUUUACCAGUUUUCCCAUCCCCACCCCUUAGAAAGCUCAGGUCCCUUUUCCUGCCCCCAUGUCCCCAUUUGAGUUAAAUUCAGAUCCACAACUUGCAGGAGAAAGUCAGUGGCCCCAGACACACGUAACAGGGUGAGCACUGAAAUAAGAGCACGCUGGGGCGUCCACACCAAGGGACUACGCCCCAGUCUGCCCACCUAUCUUUUCUCCAUCAUUAACCCAGCGCUCUUUCUCCCUGGACUUCCAAGUACCAAUGACCUUGGGGCUUCUUUGCAGUUUAAAGGGAAAAUGCUCUACAAAAUAAUUUCACUUUCAAACAUUUCAGCAGAAGAAUAAAAUCUUUUUCUGAAUAUCUAGUAA